rnacentral:tRNA from 1 species
CACCUGCUGGUCUAGUGGUUAGGUCUCUUGGCUUUCAUCCAGGUUACCCAGAUUCAAUUCCUGGGCAGGAAA